rnacentral:lncRNA from 1 species
CCCUGACCUCGACCUCGUCCCCACUACCCUACACCUCAAAUUGGAGAAUGCCCUCUCUAAUUGUCCGCCCGAAGCCCAACAAUCGCCUCAUCCUCAUGGAUAUAUAGAUUUUCUCUGGAUCUAAUAUAAGAUUACUCUCUAGUGCUAGAUUUGCCUUUUUUUUUCUUUUUUUUCUUCAUUUUCUUUUCUUCCAAUGGAGGUUUAUUUGGGAUUUUAUCUAUAACGUAGAGUUUGAU